CCUACGGGAGGCAGCAGUGAGGAAUAUUGGUCAAUGGACGAGAGUCUGAACCAGCCAAGUAGCGUGAAGGAUGACUGCCCUAUGGGUUGUAAACUUCUUUUAUAUGGGAAUAAAAUGUUCCACGUGUGGGAUUUUGUAUGUACCAUAUGAAUAAGUAUCGGCUAACUCCGUGCCAGCAGCCGCGGUAAUACGGAGGAUCCGAGCGUUAUCCGGAUUUAUUGGGUUUAAAGGGAGCGUAGGUGGAGUGUUAAGUCAGUUGUGAAAGUUUGCGGCUCAACCGUAAAAUUGCAGUUGAAACUGGCAGUCUUGAGUACAGUAGAGGUGGGCGGAAUUCGUGGUGUAGCGGUGAAAUGCUUAGAUAUCACGAAGAACUCCGAUUGCGAAGGCAGUUCACUGGACUGCAACUGACACUGAGGCUCGAAAGUGUGGGUAUCAAACAGGAUUAGAUACCCUAGUAGUC
rnacentral:rRNA from 1 species